AAUUCUCAACUACCUUUUUAGCAUUUAUGUUAAGGGUGAAGUUGGAGUUGGAGGAUAAUUGCUGGCGCAGCUAAGGUUGCUUGUUAGCUCCUCUUGAAUGAAUGAGCUUUUCUAAUGGAUCAUAGCUCAGUAACACUAAUGUGAUAAUUAUCUAUGUUAGAUGUGAAAGCUGUGAGUAGAGUAACUUCAAAUAUGGAGAUGCUCCUAUAGAAAAGGCAUGUCUUGGAGGAUAACAAACCCUUGACUUUAAAAUUAUAAUGACAA
rnacentral:misc_RNA from 1 species